AUAACAUAGUUCUGAUAAAAAGUUAAAUACAUUAAAUUAAAUAUUUUAAUAUACUUUACAGUCAUCCCGUAACUCUUGAACCACGUAAACGCGAGAAAGAAGAUCCUUGGUUACAAAUCGACGUUAUUCUCAUAGCUAUUUUAUUAGCAUUAUUAGGAACUUUGUUAACACUUAUAUGUGCCACAGUUAUACAAAGAAUCAGACAUAAAAUCAAAUACAAAAAAGUAAAGCAACAGGAAAACGAGAAUGUAAAACAAAAUAAAAGAAAAACAAAGAAGAAAUACACUGAAAGCAGUACUAGCGGAACUACUGAUUAUAUAUAUCUCGAAAGCGAUUCGGACACGGAUGUAUAAAAGAAUGU